rnacentral:pre_miRNA from 1 species
GCGGCUCGCCGGAUCUAGCGGCAGAGCUCGGGCCCCUGAUCCGGGCGAGCUCGAGCUCUGUCGCCGGAUCCGGCGAGCUCG